GUUUAUUUUUUUAUAGCUGCACUUGUCUUUAGACUCCUCCGGCUCCUGGAAGCUGAAGGUUGCCUUUUUUUUGAGGAGACGAGCAGGAGGACGUUGAGUACCCGGGGAGGAGAGCUCAAGGCUGGGGCAGACAGAGCGCACAGUAAUUAAGCCCGGAGACAGUGUGUGCUGUGUGCCUCCUCAAGCAGAAAAGGACUUGGCACCGGAGCAAGGAGAAGAGAAGGCGAGCGGCAAGGCCCGCGACUCCACUGUCGAGCUGCAUCUGCAUAAAUAAUGCAGAGCUGGACUCCGGAGAGAGAGGGAGAGAGAGAGAGAGAGAGAGAGAGAGAGGGAUAGACAGAGAGAGAGAAAGAGGGGAAGAGAGCGAGAGACAGAGAGGAAGAGGGUAAGAGAGAGAGUGGGACAGAGAGUGAGGGAGAGACAGAGGGGACAAGAGAGAGAGCAAGAGAGAGGGGAGGGAGAGAGAAAGUGAGAGAGUGGGAGAGAGAUUGGGUAAGAGAGGGAGAGACAGAGAGAGAGGGAGGGAGAGAAAGAGAAAGAGGGGAAGAGAGAUUUUGAAAGAGAGAGACAGAGUGUGAGAAAGAGAGAGAGAAAAAGAGAGAAAGUGAGAGAAAGCAAGAAGGAAAGAAAGAGACAGAUGUCAUACUGGGAGAAAGAGCACAGAACAGACGAGCAUCCUUCCCUCUCUUCCUGGCCUCCAGUGGUGACUUCCAUUCUCCCCCCCCCCCCUCCCCCGUCCCCCCCCGUCCCCCACCCCCCCUGGACGUCCUUAGCGACGAGGCGCUAUUUAAACACUGCGGCAUCGCCGGCGUCUCAUUAGCAGGGCGCUAAGGUAAAUGAUUCAGUAAAUGGCCUUUUAUGUUAUCGCCAUUAGCGAAAACAUAAAUGCAAAUUGACAGCGUUGUCAUGGCGUUCUGCACUGUAGGGCUCGCUGGCUUCCAGUUCUCCAGGGGGUGGGGGCUGGGGGUCGGGGUCGGUGGGUGGGGGUGAGGGGCAAGUUCACAGCUUUCCCAUGCAGUGUGGGUCGCUGACCUGCAGCACCUGAUCACAUGACUGCAAGAAAAGAAAAAAAAACCAAAAAAAAAAACAAGCUUGACCCAAAUGUCCUGGAGAUGCUUGGCACUUGAUUAGCAAGUGUAUCUUCAUCCCCUUGCUCUUCUUCUCUUUCUCACUGUUCCCACCCGAAGACUUCGUACCAAGCAAAAAAAAAAUCCCCACCCCCCCCAAAAAAAAAGUCUGUCCAGAAGCCGAUGUUGUAGUAAAUGUAUAUUUUAAUAAAGUUAUACCUUUUAUUUCUCCACCA